rnacentral:rRNA from 1 species
CAGUAGCCGCGGGAAUACGUAGGGUGCGAGCGUUAAUCGGAAUUACUGGGCGUAAAGCGUGCGCAGGCGGUUUUGUAAGACAGGCGUGAAAUCCCCGGGCUCAACCUGGGAAUGGCGCUUGUGACUGCAAAGCUAGAGUGCGGCAGAGGGGGAUGGAAUUCCGCGUGUAGCAGUGAAAUGCGUAGAUAUGCGGAGGAACACCGAUGGCGAAGGCAAUCCCCUGGGCCUGCACUGACGCUCAUGCACGAAAGCGUGGGGAGCAAACAGGAUUAGAUACCCCAGUAGUCCCUGUCUCUUAUAA